GAGGGCAUUGAUUGGAAAAGCAUGGAAUUUUGUGAGUUGGAAUGGGGAAUUAUGAGGAGACCUCAAGGAAGCUUUAGAUAUUAAAUUCCUAAAUUCUAAUGAGAUUAUUUUUUCUCCCCAGUGGAAGAGGCCUUCACUGUCAUCACCAGUGAAAGCAAUCUUGCCACCACAGGGUAAUUGGUGUCACCAGUUGGUAUCACCACAGUGGCUUCCUGUGGGUGGCCAUGCCUAAGCUAUUUGAAUAGCCUCUACUCAACCUUGGAGCCAAGGAGAUUUUGGCCUGGAAUUGCAAGUCCUUUUGUGGCUUAUAAUACAAAGGAUGUGGUGACCUCAGUUUUCACUCGGCUAGAGAGGCUGCUCUGUAGCUCUGAACUUGGGCAUUACCCAUUGGGCUUGGAUAGCCCCCCUCCUACCUUAUUUGGAAAAGAACAUUCCAAUGAAGUCCUCUGAAGCCCCCUUGUAUAAAUGAAGCAAACACAGGCUCCCCCCUCCUUCCAGUGUGGAAACAGAACGCCUAAGGUCACAGAGCUGACCCAUCUUCGCUUUUCAAAAUUAUUUCUGUGUCGUGAGUUUUCACCAUAUUUCUCAAUUUCACACAAGGGAAAUCCAUAUUUUAUAGCCUGCACUGGAGGCAAGAGAGAAAUAUGAGAAUUGAGAAGUGGCUCCCGGAACAGGGGCCCUCUGUAUGUAGUUAAGGUAACUGGCUAUUUAAUCCUCUCUCAUAAGAAAAGCACACUUACCUUAUUUAAUUGUGGAUUUUUUGAACUGUGGAUUCUUGAGUUGUGGAUAUUUUAUAUUGUGGAUUGAAGAAUUAUUGGAUUGAAAUGUUUUCAACAAGAAUUUUCUGGAUCUAGUGUAUUGUGGAUUGGUUUUUGCAAGUAAGAGGAGAGAGGAAAGUUUUUUUUUUUUUUUAACUGUGGGGUGCUAAGCCUGGGAAAUUCUUAGAGAAAUAAAUUUAAUAGAGGGAGUGGCACAUAAGUGUCACUUGGAAUUAGUAAUCCACUGUUAGACCAGGAUGCAAGAAAAGACCACUGACUCCAAUUAAAAUCAAAUUAAAGCAAGCUUAUUAUUUCAACUGGCCGGGCUGCCUCUCCCACCCAAAACCGAGGGAACAAGACAGCAGCCGCAGCUUUCCUGCAGCCCAGCUUUAUAGCGCAGAAAGUUACACAAAGGGGGGUUACAGAUAACAGAACUCUGACGAGAAUAACACUAAUGGUAGUUUACAUUUUUGCUGGCCUGACAUCAGAAUUUAUGAAGGUCAUUAGAGCCUCAGAGAGGGUUGUUAUCUGGCCAGGGAAGGCCAAGAUUUGUGAGGCAUCACUAAAGUUUCAGAGAGGGCUGCUAUCUGGUCAGAGAGCCAGGCAUGGGUGAGUUCAAGGCAAGGGCAGGCAUUCCAAGCAGGUUCAGAAUUUGCAGUAAUUUAUAGUAAAACCGGAAUUAUCUUUUCAUGACUUUGUGGCGAGAUGGCUCCCAAUUUUAAGAAAAGAUCAGGUUGGGUCUAUCA
rnacentral:lncRNA from 1 species